rnacentral:rRNA from 1 species
UACGGGAGUGGCAAGCGUUAUCCGGAAUUAUUGGGCGUAAAGCGUCCGCAGGCGGUCUUGUAAGUCUGUUGUUAAAGCGUGGAGCUUAACUCCAUUUCAGCAAUGGAAACUGUAAGACUAGAGUGUGGUAGGGGCAGAGGGAAUUCCCGGUGUAGCGGUGAAAUGCGUAGAUAUCGGGAAGAACACCAGUGGCGAAGGCGCUCUGCUGGGCCAUAACUGACGCUCAUGGACGAAAGCCAGGGGAGCGAAAGGGAUUAGAUACCCCUGUAGUCCUGGCCGUAAACGAUGAACACUAGGUGUCGGGGGAAUCGACCCCCUCGGUGUCGUAGCCAACGCGUUAAGUGUUCCGCCUGGGGAGUACGCACGCAAGUGUGAAACUCAAAGGAAUUGACGGGGGCCCGCACAAGCGGUGGAGUAUGUGGUUUAAUUCGAUGCAACGCGAAGAACCUUACCAGGGUUUGACAUCCUGCGAAUCUUUUGGAAACGAAAGAGUGCCUUCGGGAACGCAGUGACAGGUGGUGCAUGGCUGUCGUCAGCUCGUGUCGUGAGAUGUUGGGUUAAGUCCCGCAACGAGCGCAACCCACGUCGUUAGUUGCCAGCAUUGAGUUGGGCACUCUAGCGAGACCGCCGGUGAUAAACCGGAGGAAGGUGUGGAUGACGUCAAGUCAUCAUGCCCCUUACAUCCUGGGCUACACACGUACUACAAUGCUACGGACAAAGGGCAGCAAACUCGCGAGAGCUAGCAAAUCCCAUAAACCGUGGCUCAGUUCAGAUCGUAGGCUGCAACUCGCCUACGUGAAGGAGGAAUCGCUAGUAAUCGCAGGUCAGCAUACUGCGGUGAAUACGUUCCCGGGCCU